rnacentral:rRNA from 1 species
ACCCGCUUGAGUCAGUCGCGGAAACUAACAAGGAUUCCCCUAGUAACGGCGAGUGAAGCGGGAAGAGCUCAAAUUUGUAAUCUGGCGGCCUUUGGCCGUCCGAGUUGUAGUCUCGAGAAGCGUUUUCUGCGUCGGACCGUGUACAAGUCCCUUGGAACAGGGCGUCGUAGAGGGUGAGAAUCCCGUCUUUGACACGGACUGCCGGUGCUUUGUGAUGCGCUCUCAAAGAGUCGAGUUGUUUGGGAAUGCAGCUCAAAACGGGUGGUAAAUUCCAUCUAAAGCUAAAUAUUGGCGAAAGACCGAUAGCGAACAAGUACCGUGAGGGAAAGAUGAAAAGCACUUUGGAAAGAGAGUUAAACAGUACGUGAAAUUGCUGAAAGGGAAACGCUUGAAGUCAGUCGCGUUUUCCCGGGAUUCAGCCGUGCCCUAUCGGGGCGCGGUGUACUUCCUGGGUGUGACGGGCCAGCAUCGAUUUCGGCCGUCGGAAAAAGGCCUUGGGAAUGUGGCACCUUCGGGUGUGUUAUAGCCCUGGGUCGCAUGCGACGGUCGGGAUCGAGGACCGCAGCACGUUUCUCCUUCCUUCACGGGGAGGGGCUCGGGGUUCGCCCACGCAAACGUUGCUUAGGAUGUCUCGGACCAAUGCCUUAAGCU